AUUGAACGCUGGCGGCAGGCCUAACACAUGCAAGUCGAACGAGUGGCGGACGGGUGAGUUAUGUCUGUGAAACUGCCUGAUGGAUGGCGAUCAGUACUGGACACGGUAGCUAAAACCGCAUUCAUUCACAUGUGUCCGGGUGGGAUUAGCUAGGUGGUGGGGUAAAGGCUAACCAAGGCGACGAUCCCUAGCUGGUCUGAGAGGAUGACCAGCCACACUGGAACUGAGACACGGUCCAGACUCCUACGGGAGGCAGCAGUGGGGAAUAUUGCACAAUGGGCGAAAGCCUGAUGCAGCCAUGCCGCGUGUAUGAAGAAGGCCUUCGGGUUGUAAAGUACUUUCAGCGGGGAGGCGUUACCCGCAGAAGAAGCACCGGCUAACUCCGUGCCAGCAGCCGCGGUAAUUC
rnacentral:rRNA from 1 species